UAAAAUUUUUCCAGGAUUUCACAAGAUAUAACUGUAAUAUUUCACAGUUAAUUACAUUAUUACCACUUCACAGGCUUUAACUGUGAUAAUUCACAAUAUAAUACCGUAUUUAGACUUUUACUGUGAAAAUAAUGCAGGCGCGGGGCUUUUACAAGAAACUACUGUGAAUGCCGUCUUUUUUGACUUUUUUGAGUGGCAACUGCGGCAGCGUCAUCAGAGCGUCAUCAGAGCUCUCUGAUCUACGUGGUCCCAUUCGGUGGAUUCAGACAGCGCUUCUACAUUGACCGACGAUACAUAAAGUUAUAAGCCUUGUGCCACAGCCACUGAUGUAGAAGGGACUGUGAUGCUACCAAGCACCCCUCGCUUGAUUGUUCAAGGUGACAUAAUGAAACCAAGGGCAUGGAUGCUGUCGUUGGAGGGUCAAGUGGUCAUGGGACCUCACCUUGACUUUACAACUGGUCUGGCUGCUAUUUUUUCCAGCUACUACAAUUUUAACUUGAAGUAUGCUGAAGAUGCUGCUUGUACUCUGGAAUUUAUCCAAAGGUGCUUCUUGGGCAUCAACCCAGAGACAGGCACAAAAUCUAAGAGGCAGAGAGGUCACAUGAACCAGCAAGUCUGCACUCUUAUCAGGAAGCUCAUUGACUUCGAAUGGAUGUCAAUCUAAUUGGAUAGAACCCACACUAUGCAGGUGCCAGCUGCGAUGGAAGGAGCGAGACACCUGCGACCCUCUCUAUUCCCACCUUUUUGUCUUUUCUUACAUCUCUCUCCCUCACUCUCUCUUCUCUGUCUCCUCCUUUCUCUUUUGACACACGUUCCUGUUACCCAGUGUCAAUCCCUGUUGCCCAGUGUUUUAUUCAUGUAAUUAAAUUGUAUUUUACUUCUAAAAAAUAAAAGUUAUGUCACUGUUUUUA